rnacentral:tRNA from 1 species
UGCCCGAUGGUGUAAUGGUAGCACUCCGGUCUCUGGAUCCGUUAGUGAGGGUUCAAAUCCUUCUCGGGCAG